rnacentral:rRNA from 1 species
CUUUUUUGGAGAGUUUGAUCCUGGCUCAGGAUGAACGCUGGCGGCGUGCCUAAUACAUGCAAGUCGAGCGGGAGAAUCAUCCUUCGGGAUGAGGAUCCAGCGGCGAACGGGUGAGUAACACGUGGGCAACCUGCCCGCAAGACCGGGAUAACUCCGGGAAACCGGGGCUAAUACCGGAUAGUCCUUUUCCCCGCAUGGGGAAAAGGGGAAAGGCGGCUUCGGCUGUCACUUGCGGAU